rnacentral:rRNA from 1 species
GCUGGAAAGCUUGGCGAUACAGGGUGAUAGCCCCGUAACCGACGCUUCAUCGAGCGUGAAAUCGAGUAGGGCGGGACACGUGAUAUCCUGUCUGAAUAUGGGGGGACCAUCCUCCAAGGCUAAAUACUCCUGACUGACCGAUAGUGAACCAGUACCGUGAGGGAAAGGCGAAAAGAACCCCUGUGAGGGGAGUGAAAUAGAACCUGAAACCGUGUACGUACAAGCAGUAGGAGCACCUUCGUGGUGUGACUGCGUACCUUUUGUAUAAUGGGUCAGCGACUUAUAUUCAGUGGCAAGGUUAACCGUAUAGGGGAGCCGUAGCGAAAGCGAGUCUUAACUGGGCGCUCAGUCUCUGGAUAUAGACCCGAAACCGGGUGAUCUAGCCAUGGGCAGGUUGAAGGUUGAGUAACAUCAACUGGAGGACCGAACCGACUAAUGUUGAAAAAUUAGCGGAUGACUUGUGGCUAGGGGUGAAAGGCCAAUCAAACUCGGAGAUAGCUGGUUCUCCCCGAAAGCUAUUUAGGUAGCGCCUCGGACGAAUACUACUGGGGGUAGAGCACUGUUAAGGCUAGGGGGUCAUCCCGACUUACCAACCCUUUGCAAACUCCGAAUACCAGUAAGUACUAUCCGGGAGACACACGGCGGGUGCUAACGUCCGUCGUGGAGAGGGAAACAACCCAGACCGCCAGCUAAGGUCCCAAAGUAUUGCUAAGUGGGAAACGAUGUGGGAAGGCUCAGACAGCUAGGAUGUUGGCUUAGAAGCAGCCAUCAUUUAAAGAAAGCGUAAUAGCUCACUAGUCGAGUCGGCCUGCGCGGAAGAUGUAACGGGGCUAAGCAAUACACCGAAGCUGCGGCAAUAUCUUUUAGAUAUUGGGUAGGGGAGCGUUCUGUAAGCCGUUGAAGGUGGAUCGUAAGGUUUGCUGGAGGUAUCAGAAGUGCGAAUGCUGACAUGAGUAACGACAAAGGGGGUGAAAAACCUCCUCGCCGGAAGACCAAGGGUUCCUGUCCAACGUUAAUCGGGGCAGGGUGAGUCGACCCCUAAGGUGAGGCCGAAAGGCGUAAUCGAUGGGAAACGGGUUAAUAUUCCCGUACUUCUGACUAUUGCGAUGG